AUUGAACGCUGGCGGCAUGCCUUACACAUGCAAGUCGAACGGUAACGGGCCUUCGGGUGCCGACGAGUGGCGAACGGGCGAGUAAUACAUCGGAACGUGCCCGAUCGUGGGGGAUAACGAGGCGAAAGCUUUGCUAAUACCGCAUACGAUCUACGCAUGAAAGCAGGGGACCGCAAGGCCUUGCGCGGACGGAGCGGCCGAUGGCAGAUUAGGUAGUUGGUGGGAUAAAAGCUUACCAAGCCGACGAUCUGUAGCUGGACUGAGAGGAUGAUCAGCCACACUGGGACUGAGACACGGCCCAGACUCCUACGGGAGGCAGCAGUGGGGAAUUUUGGACAAUGGGCGCAAGCCUGAUCCAGCCAUGCCGCGUGCAGGAUGAAGGCCUUCGGGUUGUAAACUGCUUUUGUACGGAACGAAAAGCCUUCUUUUAAUACAGGAGGGUCAUGACGGUACCGGAAGAAUAAGCACCGGCUAACUACGUG
rnacentral:rRNA from 1 species